AUGUCGGUCUCGUCCUCCUCCAUGUGCGGCGGGGACGCCGGGAUGAAGUGCGUGGUCUGGUUCCGGAGGGACCUCAGGGUGGAGGACAACCCGGCGCUGGCGGCGGCGGCGCGCACCGCCGGCGAGGUGGUGCCGGCGUACGUGUGGUCGCCGGAGGAGGACGGCCCCUACUUCCCCGGCCGCGUGUCGCGGUGGUGGCUCAGCCAGAGCCUCAAGCACCUGGAGGCCUCGCUCCACCGCCUCGGCGCCGCCAAGCUCGUCACCCGGAGGUCGCCCGACUCCGUCGCCGCGCUGCUCCAGCUCGUCCGCGACACCGGCGCCACGCACCUCUUCUUCAACCAUCUCUACGACCCGAUCUCGCUGGUCAGGGACCACCGUCUCAAGGAGAUGAUGACGGCAGAGGGCAUCGUCGUGCAGUCUUUCAAUGCCGACCUGCUGUAUGAUCCAUGGGAGGUCAACGAUGAUGAAGGCCAGCCGUUCAACAUGUUCAUGCCGUUCUGGAACAGGUGCCUCAGCAUGCCGUAUGACCCCCCCGCGCCACUGCUGCCCCCUAAGAGAAUCAACUCAGGUGACCUAUCCAUGUGCCCAUCAGACGAUCUGAUUUUUGAGGAUGAGUCGGAGAGGGGAAGCAAUGCCCUUCUGGCACGAGCAUGGUCACCAGGCUGGCAGAACGCGGAUAAGGCGCUAUCUGCCUUCCUGAACGGCCCUUUGAUUGACUACUCGGUGAACCGCAAGAAGGCAGACAGCGCAAACACCUCCCUCCUUUCACCUUACCUGCAUUUUGGCGAGCUGAGUGUGCGCAAGGUUUUCCACCUUGUUCGAGUGAAGCAACUCGUGUGGAGCAACGAGGGCAACCACGCAGCUGAGGAGAGCUGCACUCUGUUCCUCCGAUCUGUCGGUCUCCGGGAGUACUCACGGUAUCUUUGCUUCAACCAUCCAUGCAGCCAUGAGAAGCCCCUCCUUGCACACCUCAGGUUCUUCCCUUGGGUGGUCAACGAAAGCACCUUCAAAUUUUGGCGCCAGGGACGGACUGGUUACCCUCUUGUUGAUGCUGGCAUGAGGGAGUUGUGGGCAACUGGAUGGCUGCAUGAUCGGAUACGUGUGGUAGUUUCAAGUUUUUUCGUCAAGGUCCUUCAACUACCAUGGCGAUGGGGGAUGAAGUAUUUUUGGGACACUUUACUGGAUGCUGAUCUUGAGAGUGAUGCACUUGGUUGGCAGUACAUCUCUGGCUCGCUCCCUGAUAGCCGGGAGCUCGACCACAUUGACAACCCUCAGCUCGAAGGCUACAAGUUUGAUCCACAUGGGGAAUAUGUCCGACGGUGGCUUCCUGAACUUGCAAGGCUGCCAACAGAAUGGAUACACCACCCAUGGGAUGCACCUGCCUCUGUGCUGCAAGCUGCAGGAGUUGAGUUGGGCUCCAACUAUCCUCUCCCCAUAGUUGAGCUAGAUACAGCCCAGGUCAGGCUGCAAGAAGCCCUGUCAGAAAUGUGGCAGCUUGAGGCAGCAUCCAGGGCCGCAAUGGACACUGGAAUGGAGGAAGGCCUGGGCGACUCAUCGGAGGUGCCACCAAUCGAAUUUCCCCAAGAUUUGCAGAUGGAAGUCCAUUGGGAACCAGCCCGGGUAGCGCCCAAUGUGCUCACAACUGCACAGAGACGCCAGGAUCAGAUGGUGCCUACCAUGACAGCUUCACUCAACAGGGUUGAAACAGAAAUUUCUGCUGAUUUGGGGAAUAGCGUGGAUAGUAGAGCAGAGGUUCCGUUCCGCAUGCAUUUUGAGCCACGGACUGAGAGGGAGGAAGUGAUUCAAAGCACGGGCAAUGCAGCUGGAACUAAUGGCAUUCACCACCACAAUAACUUUCAGCAACCUCAGCACCGUAUGAGAAAUAUUUUUGCGCCAUCUGUGUCUGAAGCGUCAAGUAGCUGGACCGGGAGAGAUGGUGGCGUGGUCCCAGUUUGGUCGCCUCCUGCAGCAUCAGGCCAUUCCGAAACUUAUGGAGCCGAUGAAGCUGAUGUUUCUAGUAGGAGUUAUUUGGAUAUGCAUCCUCAGUCACACCGGAUAAUGAACUGGCAUCAGCUAUCACAGUCAUUGACAACAGGCAGGGACGUGGAGAACUCCGUGCAGCCAAAUUUCAUCGGUUAG
rnacentral:rRNA from 1 species